CUAGGUUAUGGCGACAUCGUUCCGGAGACAUUACCCGGCAAGCUAGUUGGUACAGCAUGUGCGAUAUGUGGCGUUCUAACUAUUGCUCUACCUAUACCUGUCAUUGUGAGUAAU